UUGAACCGCAUGGUUCAAGGAUGAAAGACGGUUUCGGCUGUCACUUACAGAUGGACCCGCGGCGCAUUAGCUAGUUGGUGGGGUAAUGGCUCACCAAGGCGACGAUGCGUAGCCGACCUGAGAGGGUGAUCGGCCACACUGGGACUGAGACACGGCCCAGACUCCUACGGGAGGCAGCAGUAGGGAAUCUUCCGCAAUGGACGAAAGUCUGACGGAGCAACGCCGCGUGAGUGAUGAAGGUUUUCGGAUCGUAAAGCUCUGUUGUUAGGGAAGAACAAGUGCGAGAGUAACUGCUCGCACCUUGACGGUACCUAACCAGAAAGCCACGGCUAACUACGUGCCAGCAGCCGCGGUAAUACGUAGGUGGCAAGCGUUGUCCGGAAUUAUUGGGCGUAAAGGGCUCGCAGGCGGUUUCUUAAGUCUGAUGUGAAAGCCCCCGGCUCAACCGGGGAGGGUCAUUGGAAACUGGGAAACUUGAGUGCAGAAGAGGAGAGUGGAAUUCCACGUGUAGCGGUGAAAUGCGUAGAGAUGUGGAGGAACACCAGUGGCGAAGGCGACUCUCUGGUCUGUAACUGACGCUGAGGAGCGAAAGCGUGGGGAGCGAACAGGAUUAGAUACCCUGGUAGUCCACGCCGUAAACGAUGAGUGCUAAGUGUUAGGGGGUUUCCGCCCCUUAGUGCUGCAGCUAACGCAUUAAGCACUCCGCCUGGGGAGUACGGUCGCAAGACUGAAACUCAAAGGAAUUGACGGGGGCCCGCACAAGCGGUGGAGCAUGUGGUUUAAUUUCGAAGCAACGCGAAGAACCUUACCAGGUCUUGACAUCCUCUGACAACCCUAGAGAUAGGGCUUUUCCCUUUCGGGGACAGAGUGACAGGUGGUGCAUGGUUGUCGUCAGCUCGUGUCGUGAGAUGUUGGGUUAAGUCCCGCAACGAGCGCAACCCUUGAUCUUAGUUGCCAGCAUUCAGUUGGGCACUCUAAGGUGACUGCCGGUGACAAACCGGAGGAAGGUGGGGAUGACGUCAAAUCAUCAUGCCCCUUAUGACCUGGGCUACACACGUGCUACAAUGGACAGAACAAAGGGCUGCAAGACCGCAAGGUUUAGCCAAUCCCAUAAAUCUGUU
rnacentral:rRNA from 1 species